rnacentral:rRNA from 1 species
AACGAACGCUGGCGGCAUGCCUAACACAUGCAAGUCGAACGAGACCUUCGGGUCUAGUGGCGCACGGGUGCGUAACGCGUGGGAAUCUGCCCUUGGGUUCGGAAUAACAGUUGGAAACGACUGCUAAUACCGGAUGAUGACGUAAGUCCAAAGAUUUAUCGCCCAGGGAUGAGCCCGCGUAGGAUUAGCUAGUUGGUGGGGUAAAGGCCUACCAAGGCGACGAUCCUUAGCUGGUCUGAGAGGAUGAUCAGCCACACUGGGACUGAGACACGGCCCAGACUCCUACGGGAGGCAGCAGUGGGGAAUAUUGGACAAUGGGCGAAAGCCUGAUCCAGCCAUGCCGCGUGAGUGAUGAAGGCCUUAGGGUUGUAAAGCUCUUUUACCCGGGAUGAUAAUGACAGUACCGGGAGAAUAAGCCCCGGCUAACUCCGUG